AAUGACCAAGCGCUCGUCUCUGCGUUGCAUGCGUUUGUGCACUGCGGCAAGGAUUAUUGCUUCACUUCCUGUAGCCAGCAGGAGGCUCUAUGAACUAGAGGACACACAGAGCAGUGAGCGACCAUGUACGGCGCUCACGGAGCAGAUGUUGGGGGAGUGAGGUGCCUUGCUCAGGGGCACUAGAGAGGAUAGGGAGACUCUUGGAUUUUUGGACAGAUCAAUCCAGGUUUGUCUUUUGUUGUCUCUCCGUGGAGUCGAACCGGAGACAAACCAGAGACCUUCUCUGCCCAUAGUCCAAGUUUCUGCCCUCUACACAUCACUCCAUACGUUGCUCCCUUAACUACAGAUGGCCUGCGAAUGUCAUGGAGUUUUACAGUGAAUUAGACGGUUUAGAUAUGAUUUUAAUCUCCACACAUCAGUGUUGUAAACAGUUCUCAAAUUAAUUAUAUAAUUAUGUUUUCACACUGAGGGAAGUGGAGAGACUUGAUGUGGACUGUUAUCAAUAGCUCUGUGGGAGAUUAUCACCUUGAAUAUUACAGAUGAGGUAGAAAGACAUUUUAUCUAUUUUUACAAUGUUGUAUUUCUUUCAGUACUUUUAUCAAAAGCGACUUAAAAUAUGUGCAUUUAACCAUUAGGAUACAAACCCAGACCACAGUACAACGGUUCUAUCUGAAAUCUGUUGUGCUUCAUACACAACUCAAAACAUUCUUUAACAGUGCGUUUCUUCUCUUCAUAGAUGAGGAACUGCAGCACCUGACGUCGUCAGCAGCAACAUGGUGGUCAACACGUGGACGACUGCAUCAUCAUCAGAAGCUACACAACACUUCUAAAUUCCUCCCUUAAAUAAAGAUGGCCUGCAACUGUUUGGUGGUGGCAGUCAUUGCUAAGUGGCAUGGAUAAGAAUUCAUUUCUAUCUUCAUUAUGGUUGGUUAAAAUAAUAAAAACUUAUAACAACAA